AACGAGUAGUAAUUACUCUCAAAGUGUCUCUUACAAGAACAUCUUUCAUUAUAAAUGAAUUUUUAUUUGGUUAAUGAAUAUUAUUUUUGAUCAUAUUGGUAAAGAAGAAGAAGAAAAGAGUAGUAUUCAAUAAGGUUUUUGAAUUGGUAAAGUUUGAUUUAAAAAGCAAGAGAUGAGAGUAGCCAUAGGAGAGGGUCCAGUUUGAAGGAAACACGUGCAAUAAUUAUCGUGAGUCUUGUCUCCACCAUAGUUUGUUGUGUUCUUGAGAAGGCUCUAGCAUUGCUCUAUUGUGUUGUGAAUGAGUGAGAAAUCAGAAUCAAAAGCCUACAAUUAUGUAACCCUUUGCUUCUCCAUUAGUGUACCUUGAUGCAAAGUGUUUUCAUAUGAAAGAUGCCUUUCUCUCUCACCUUAUCUCUUUCUUCUCUUUUUCUAAAAACAACAACAUUGCAACAAAAUUAUCAUCACAUAAUGCUUAAGAUUUACACUACACUUCAGACACAUAAGUAUUCAUCUCUGUUUAUUGGUCUCAUGAUUAUUCUUUAAUAAAAUGCUGAGCAUAUUUUAUUUGUAAUAAAAUUAACUAAAAUACUAUAUCUUUUUCUCAAUGCAUUUUUUAAUUUUGUGCUGUCAAAUAUAUUCUUUGAGAUAGUUUUGUUAGGAUAUUAUCUGUUUUGAAGUUUUUGAACUCCGUCACAGUUUUGUUCUAAAAAACGUUUUAACAGGUUGAGAGAGUAAAUAGUAUAUAAAUUGUUGUUGACUUUGACUCUUAAACGAUGUUGAACUAUAUUAGUGGUACUAAAACCUUUUUAAUUGAGAAAAAGGUGGAUGUAGGGAUCCAUGCGUAUACAAAACUUUUUUUCUUUUUUUUAUUAUUUUCAAUAGUGAAAAUUUGACAUUUUUGUCAUAUUUAUUUUAUUUUCAUGUUCUUUCUUCCUAAGAAUGGUUUUGUAAAGUAUAUUAACCAAGUUGUCAAGUACACUGAGUAUAUUGAGUUUAAUGUUUAAGUGUUAUACUAACAAAAUUGCAUUGUUAUUUAAAUAAAAUAAUCAUUGAUAUAACUUUCUUACCAACUAUUUAAAAAAAAAUAAUCUUAAUGAACCCAUUAUAUAUGAUUGAAAAGUAUUAAUUAUUACAAAUUUAUAAUUUUAUAUGAUAAUAAUAAUAAUUUAUAAUUUGUAUUUGUCAUUAUCAAAUCAAUCAAAUAAGUGAAAAUAAUGUUUGACCUAGAUUCAAGUCAUUUAUAUCAUAAUUAUUAUAUGUAUUAAGAAGUGAACUUAUUAAGAGAAGCGAAAUUUGUCAACUCGUUCAACAUAUGACCUGGUCGUUUAACAAAUUUUUGUUAGGAUAUAUCUUAAAUGACUCUGAUAACACGUUAAAAAACAGGCUUUAAGUCUAACUCAACCUUAUAAAAUUGAUUUUUUAAGUAAGAUUUGUAUACACUUAUAUACUACCAAAUUUUUUAUUUUUUUUAUGUGGAAUCUCCAAUACCGUGUUCGCCUCGUGAUUAAUUAGUUUGAGUAAAUAUUUGAAGAGAAAUUUAAAGAAAAAACAAAACUUUAUGUGAUAGAGUUUUUUUUUUUUCUUUUAAAUGGAAAAGAGUGUGAUUGUUAAGAUGAUAGCAUAGGCAUAUAAACCCUAAUAAGCAUAUAGUUUUGUAGAUAGCUGCAUAGGCUUACAAAUGCACGAGGAAGAUGCCACCCAGUUAUGUUGAAACAUGACGAAUCUUUCUUUUAUGGUGCUACUUUCUUCAUCAAAAUCAUUUGCUGCAAGUAGAAACCUAAACAAAGUGGAAUAUCUCCAAACAUAAACAUCCUAGUACUCCAGAUACUUUUUUCUAUUCGUCCUUCUUUUGUUUUUAAAGUAUACUCUAACAUGUGUUAUACCAGGAUACAAGUAUAUGAAACUUCUACAAACUAAACACAAAUGAAUUUUAUUUUUCACACAAAUUUAUAAGAAAUAAUAAGAAAGAAGGACAAAACCCUUUUUUUAUCGGUAAAAUAAAAAUAAAAAUAUAUGAAUCACUUUAGUGAUAGUCUAACCCUUAAACUAUUUAAGGAGAUUCUUGAUCAUAAACAAAAAAGUCACCGGAUCAAGACACCAAUCAAACAAGAAAAAACAAGUAGAGACAAAUUUAGUUGUAGUUCAAGACCAAACCUUUACUUAAACAAAAAAAAUAAAUUCGGAAUGAUGAAUCACUUCACCUCUAAAGAUAUGUCUAUUCUUAUGCUUCCAAAUUUCAUCAAUAACUACCAUCCAAACAUUUUCAUUUAUAAGCAAACAUCAAAACAUUCAUGCAUGUAAGUUUUUUCCUAUUCCUUAAAAUUAGGAGCAUGGGGUUUGAUUUCCUUGUAUAACGUGUCCUAUUUCUUCCUAGAUCUUAGGUAUUUCCUAGUUUUUCUUUUCAUGGGAAAAAGACAAGGGAAAGAAAGAAAGAAAACAAAAGAAAAAAACUUUCAUACAAGAAGAAUAAAGAAGUAACCAUACGAAACCAAACUCCAUUCGAUUGGUU
rnacentral:lncRNA from 1 species